rnacentral:lncRNA from 10 species
GAGGGGGAUAGGUUGAAGGGGUGGGGGGGCAUAGGAGGAUGUAGAGAGUGAGGACGAAUGGACGGAGGGAUGGACGCACGGAUGGACGGAUGGACGCAAAAAAAGGAAAAAGGAAAAACAAAAUGGAGAAAGAAAAAAAACGGUAAGAAAACCACAACUCAAGAUGCACAACCACACAGAGAAAACGCAUGCAGGAGCGACACAAAAAAAUCUGGAAGGUGGCGGGGAGGAUGUUGAACUGUAAGCCCGAAAGCCAGAACUCUCACUCCCCCGGUAUCUCCUAGGUCUCUGGAAUGUUAUGUCCGGGAGCAAGCAUGGGUCCAGGAGGCAGGGAGGCCCAUGUCUCUCUGUCCACUUAGCUUUCUGGGCUGACAGUCUAGAAGACGCAUGCAGGAAUCAAGGUCUCAGACAGGUAAGAGGCCACAGAGGACAAAAAUAAAUAAACAAAAAUAAAACCACAAGCCGAGAGGGAGUGGAAGGCAGGAAAAUGAGAGGGGUUAGGGGCAUCAGAAGUUUAAGCUCGGGGAUCACAGGUAUAAACCAAGGGUGCUAAGGUAUAUUAAAAUCCAAAAACCCAAGAAAGCAAGACAUGCAGGGCGGCUCCCAGAGUCCCAUCAGCAGGAUGGAGAGAGAAACUCGGGGAGUCCCCAGGGAUGGUGUCACCAGCCCUCAGGCCAGCCCUGAAUUCCACCAGCAGGUUUUCUCCCAGCAUCCCGAGAAGCAGCAGACAAACGCCACGGACCUCCCCA